rnacentral:lncRNA from 10 species
GGCGGGCUUGGCGGCGAAAGGCGCUUCCUCAGCCCGCGCGGGAGACCCAGAAGUAGUACUGAGGUAGCGCUCGUCCUCCCGCCGGUCCACCACCACCGAGUGUAGCCCGGGCCCGGCCUAUUUCAUCAGACACAACCCCAGAGCCGGGAGCCACCCCUACCCCGGGAGCCCUUCGCCAAGCACGCAGCUCCAGACCAGAAGCAGUCGCUCCGACCCAGAGCUCCGGGUGGGGCAGAAGAAUCUUUUCUUGCUGCUCUCCUAGGAUCUACCAACCAGAGAUUCUAAUGUGAUACGUUUGGAAUGGAGUUAUCGAUCUGCAUUUUUAAUAGGCAUUCCUCCAGGCUUGGGUCCCAGCUCCAAAAUGUCUCAUUAUCUGUAUUUGAAUAUCCCCAAAUUUGAAAAAUUCAAAAUCUGAAACACUUCUGAUCCCAAGCAUUUCAGACUCCUAAGAGUUAAUACGAAGUAGAAAGAGAAGUUGGAGUUAAGCAGCUCGUUCCAGUUCUGAUUUUGCCAUUUCCUGUCUGAGUGACCUGAGCUGGGCCCCAGCAGAGGGCGAGUGGCAGGAGGACACUUGAGUGGAUUCUGCAAAAAGCCACACAGCUUUCCUCUGAUGGAUCAAAAUGAAAGAACGUCGGUCCUGGCAGUCUUUCAGCCACAAAGCUUUGAGAAAUGGGGCUAAAUAUUAAUAAUAACUGCUUGGAUUAUAAUGAGGAAUCAAUCAAAACACAUACUGUUGAUGAAGAUGCCUUGAACACCGUGGAUGCUGUAGAAUAAGGGAUUAUGACUACAGCAAUUCUUGGCUCCCUUCUCUGUUUGUUUAAGGGUUACACAGGCUUUGUUUAAUAUCUCCGUGUCUCAGUCCUUUCGGUUGAAGCACAAGGCAUGCUUCAGCCACCUGAGAUUAACUGCUAAACCCUGCAGCAAGCCAGCAUCUCCUCCCUGCUGCCUCUCAUCCGUCAGGAUCUGCUCUGGAAAUGGGCCAGUGGUGACGUGUGGGAAUGCAGCCCUUUGUGUUUGUUUUUGGUGUUGGAUUUGGUGGCCUUGGUCACGGAUUGGCUUCCUUCUUUGAAACUGAACAUCUUCCAUGCCUUUGUGAUUGAGUGACAAAAGUUCAACCUGCACAUGCCAAAAUGAACAGCCUAGAAAACUGAUUAUGGUUUCAGGACCAGCUUUAAAAAAAAGCAACAAAACCCUUCCAGUCACCCAGAGUUCUAAACAUAAUCGGUUGGUUCCCAGAAGUACAAUAAAAGGAAGCCAGAAGUAUUUUAGUCCCUAGUUGUUUAUGAAUCAACCUGAUUUUCUUUUUCAGACUUUGAAGGUCACAGAAUCAAAUCAUGUGGAGCCAUUUC